AAUAUUUGACAAUGGGGGCAACCCUGAUCCAGCCAUGCCGCGUGUGUGAAGAAGGUCUUCGGAUUNUAAAGCACUUUAAGUUGGGUNGAAGGGCUUUAGGUUAAUACCCUGACUUUUUGACGUUACCAACAGAAUAAGCACCGGCUAACUCUGUGCCAGUAGCCGCGGUAAUACAUAGGGUGCAAGCGUUAAUCGGAAUUACUGGGUGUAAAGAGCGCGUAGGGGGGGCAGGAAGAUGGGUGUGAAAAACCCGGGCUUAAACUGGGAAAUGCGUUCAUAAAUGCUGAGGUAGAGUACGGUAGAGGGGAGUGGAAAUUCCUGUGUAGCGGUGAAAUGCGUAGAUAUAGGAAGGAAAACAAGUGGCGAAGGCGACUACCUGGACUGAUACUGACACUGAGGUGCGAAAGCGUGGGGAGCAAACA
rnacentral:rRNA from 1 species